rnacentral:rRNA from 1 species
AGCGGAGCGUGUGGUUAAUUCGAUGCUACACGAAGAACCUUACCAGGGUUUGACAUACAAGUAGUAGGGAAGGAAACUGGACCGACCUUCGGGGAGCUUGUACAGGUGCUGCAUGGCUGUCGUCAGCUCGUGUCGUGAGAUGUUCGGUUAAGUCCGCUAACGAGCGCAACCCUCGCUGUGUGUUACAAGUGUCAUACGAGACUGCCGGUAAAAGCCGGAGGAAGGUGAGGAUGAUGUCAAGUCAGCAUGACCUUUAUAUCCAGGGCUACACACACGCUACAAUGGUCUGUACAAUGGGUAGCCAAGCCGCGAGGCGGAGCCAAUCCUGAAAGCAGGCCUCAGUUCAGAUUGCAGUCUGCAACUCGACUGCAUGAAGCCGGAGUUGCUAGUAACCGCAGGUCAGCAAUACUGCGGUGAAUACGUUCCCGGGUCUU